CAGAGAAUAGUUUAUUUAAAAUUUUAAUUUUGGAGAUUAAAGAUAAAGAGCUUUCUUUUUCUCUGA
rnacentral:tRNA from 1 species